rnacentral:rRNA from 1 species
GCUGGCGGCACGCUUAACACAUGCAAGUCGAACGAGAUCUUCGGAUCUAGUGGCAGACGGGUGAGUAACGCGUGGGAACCUACCCAGUAGUAGAGAAUAACUUGGGGAAACUUAAGCUAAUACUUUAUACGUCCUUCGGGAGAAAGCUUUAUGCGCUAUUGGAUGGGCCCGCGUUAGAUUAGUUUGUUGGUGAGGUAAUAGCUCACCAAGACUACGAUCUAUAGCUGGUCUGAGAGGAUGAUCAGCCACACUGGGACUGAGACACGGCCCAGACUCCUACGGGAGGCAGCAGUGGGGAAUAUUGGACAAUGGGGGCAACCCUGAUCCAGCGAUGCCGCGUGAGUGAUGAAGGCCUUAGGGUUGUAAAACUCUUUCGUCAGGGAAGAUAAUGACGGUACCUGAAGAAGAAGAUCCGGCUAACUCCGUGCCAGCAGCCGCGGUAAUACGGAGGGAUCUAGCGUUAUUCGGAAUUACUGGGCGUAAAGCGAGCGUAGGCGGAUUUGUAAGUUGGAGGUGAAAUCCCAGAGCUUAACUCUGGAACUGCCUUCAAAACUACAUUUCUUGAGUUUGGUAGAGGAGAGUGGAAUUCCUAGUGUAGAGGUGAAAUUCGUAGAUAUUAGGAGGAACACCAGUGGCGAAGGCGACUCUCUGGGCCAAUACUGACGCUGAGGUUCGAAAGCAUGGGUAGCGAACAGGAUUAGAUACCCUGGUAGUCCAUGCAGUAAACGAUGAGUGCUAGAUGUUGGGAAUUUAGAUUUCCAGUAUCGCAGUUAACGCGUUAAGCACUCCGCCUGGGAAGUACGGCCGCAA